rnacentral:rRNA from 1 species
GAUGAACGCUGGCGGCGUGCCUAAUACAUGCAAGUCGAACGCAUUGUGGUUGAAAUGAUAUGAAGAACUUGUUCAGAUUUGAUUUUCAACAUUGCAAUGAGUGGCGAACGGGUGAGUAACACGUGGGAAACCUACCUCUUAGCAGGGGAUAACAUUUGGAAACAAAUGCUAAUACCGUAUAAUAAUUAAAACCGCAUGGUUUUAGUUUAAAAGAUGGUCUUGCUAUCACUAAGAGAUGGUCCCGCGGUGUAUUAGUUAGUUGGUGAGGUAAUGGCUCACCAAGACAAAUGAUACAUAGCCGAGUUGAGAGACUGACCGGCCACAAUGGGAC